CUGAUCAACAACGACAACAAAACUUCCCCCAGAGUACAACCUCCCUCACACCUAUGUGGAGAUGCAGUCUCUUCAGAUCGCUGCCUUCCUCUUCACUGUGUGCCACGUGGUCAUCGUCCUUCAAGACUGGUUCACUGACAUCAACCUUUACAGGUUCCUGCAGACAGCUGAGAUGCUGAAGCCCUCCACACCCUCUGCCAGCCAUGACAGCACUGGAUCCUCAGGAAACGACGAGGGCUCUGAGUAUUACCCUCAUAUAGGUUAGCUGGGAAAUGAGCACACACUCCCACG